GCCAGGCAUGGUGGCACAUGCCUGUAAUCCCAGCUACUCGGGAGGCUGAGGCAGGAGAAUCACUUGAAUCUGGGAGGCAGAGGUUGUGGUGAGCCGAGAUUGUGCCAUUGCACUCCAGCCUGGGCAACAAGAGCGAAACUCCAUCUCAAAAAAAAAAAAAAAGUAAAAUAAAAUCAAAAUUAGACAAGUUUUUUUUUUUUUUUUUUUGAGACUGAGUUUCACUCUUGUUGCCCAGGCUGGAGUGCAAUGGCACGAUCUCGGCUCACUGAAAACUCUGCCUCCCGGGUUCAAAUGAUUAUCCUGCCCCA
rnacentral:SRP_RNA from 1 species